GACGAACGCUGGCGGCGUGCUUAACACAUGCAAGUCGAACGGAAAGGCCCUGCUUUUGUGGGGUGCUCGAGUGGCGAACGGGUGAGUAACACGUGAGUAACCUGCCCUUGACUUUGGGAUAACUUCAGGAAACUGGGGCUAAUACCGGAUAGGAGCUCCUGCUGCAUGGUGGGGGUUGGUAAGUUUCGGCGGUUGGGGAUGGGCUCGCGGCUUAUCAGCUUGUUGGUGGGGUAGUGGCUUACCAAGGCUUUGACGGGUAGCCGGCCUGAGAGGGUGACCGGCCACAUUGGGACUGAGAUACGGCCCAGACUCCUACGGGGGGCAGCAGUGGAGAAUAUUGCACAAUGGGCGGAAGCCUGAUGCAGCAACGCCGCGUGCGGGAUGACGGCCUUCGGGUUGUAAACCGCUUUCGCCUGUGACGAAGCGUGAGUGACGGUAAUGGGUAAAGAAGCACCGGCUAACUACGUG
rnacentral:rRNA from 1 species